rnacentral:lncRNA from 1 species
UAUACAGUGAUCAUUAUAAACUCCGUAGUAUAGCUUAAGGCAUACAUGUAACUUUAUUGUGAAUAUUUUAGGAUGAAAAUUGUUUCAUGCAACUAAUAGUGUUCGUUUUUGAAAUAAGUAAAUAGUUUAAAUUAGUUUGUGAAAUUACACCAAGGUACAAACAUGGAGGUUCGGCACGUACCGACAUGUAAAGUAAUGAAUUUAUCAAUACUUUUACCUUUAUUAAAGAUUAGCUAUGUAUCAACAUUUUAACAUUUUCAUCUUUAUAUAUUUCUAGGAUUUAGUGCUUGUGCAUGAUAAAACGGACUUAUCUUGCUCGAAAUCCCACUUCCACCUCAUCGUU